GCAUGGGCGAGCACCCCAGCCCGGGCCCCGCAGUGGCCGCCUGCGCCGAGGCGGAGCGCAUCGAGGAGCUGGAACCCGAGGCCGAGGAGCGGCCGCCGGCGGCGCCGGAGGACCACUGGAAAGUCCUGUUUGAUCAGAGAGCCACUGAAGUCAAAUCUCUGCCAUCCUUGAAGGGCGACUCGAUAUGAGCACUUCUGAAAGCUGACUCUACUCUAAUUUUGCUGCAGGGAUGGGGGAGUCAUAGCUGGAAACUUGUAUGUGAUUGUUCGCAAUGCUUAGAGCCUAGGCGUGGUGGAUGGAGUUGGAAGUGCCACACAUUGGCUUUGGAACCGGGAGACGGACAUUUGACCUUCAGCGGGGAAAUGGUUCUCUUCUUUGCUUGGUACUCCUGUUGCGUGCUGUUGUUAUGUGUUUCCUUCUCCCUCCCCGUUUCAUGAUGCAGAAGGAGAGGUGGCAAGAGCUGUCCCAGUGUGGGGGAAUAGUGAGCAUUGUGGUCCUGGGGUGAAAAUGACUAUACCAUGAAGUGUGUGUGACUUUAAGAGACCAGUCUGGUUGGGCCAGAGGGAGCGUGUUGGGUUGGAGAGGUAGAUAAAGCUGAAAAAGCAGCACGGACCAGACCUCGUCCUGUUGGAGGCAGGGGAAGCCUUUGAAAGCUUUUUUGACAAGUUUGUUACCAGAUCCAGGCAGUACUUUGGGAAGAUCCUGUGUGAGAGUGGGAUAGAGGUGAGAUGGGUUGCAGGGAUGAGAGGAACUGGCCAGGAGCCUGCUGCCAUGAAUGGAGACAAGCCCUUGACUUGGAAGAUGACAGUGGGAGUGGAAAGGAAGAGGGACAUGGUGAUGGGAGAAUUGGAAGAUCUUAUUAGACCCAAAUAGAUGAGGUGAACCACAUGUAUAACUUUGAGGUUCUGCACCUAGGAGGAGAAGGAAAAGUCAGGCUGGGGGCAGGGGGGUUUGUAAAAUUGACAACUUUGGUUUCAGACCAGUUCAGUUUGAGGAGUCAGCUAAAUGCAGACAGACGGCCAAGUGGGACUGACAACACGGAAUUCAGCUUGAAAGGCAUGGUGGGCCUGGGGUGGGGAUUGGGGGCUGUCAUCCACCUCAACACAAGGCCUGGCUGUGGCUUGGGGAGCAUCCCGCCGCUCCUGUCCCUCUGGGGUACACCAUCUCUCCCUCUGGCUCUUAAGAGUACAGACACUUCUGGCCUGACGCCCUGAGGCAGGAGGGAGCUGCCUGCUGCCACAGAUGCCACGACCAGCAAGCUGCCAGCCCUUCACACCUCCUGCCAGAUUUAGAAUCCAAACCUAGAACAAAGUGUAUCAUUCUUUUUU